rnacentral:rRNA from 1 species
UACGUAGGGGUCGAGCGUUGUCCGGAGUACUGGGCGUAAAGCGUGCGCAGGCGGCUCAUUGCGCCCGGCGUGAAAGCCCCCGGCUCAACCGGGGAGGGUCGUCGGGGACCGCACCGCUUGAGGGCGGUAGGGGCUGGUGGAAUGCCUGGUGUAGUGGUGAAAUGCGUAGAGAUCAGGCGGAACACCCGUGGCGAAGGCGGCCAGCUGGGCCGUCCCUGACGCUGAGGCGCGAAGGCGUGGGGAGCGAACGGGG